CGUGAGGCGGGGAGACGCACUCCGGCCGGCGGCCGCCAGCGGGGCUCUCGCUUCUCCGCCGGGCCGGGCGGCCUCGGGGUCGUCCCGGAGGACCGCGCGCGCCCGAGAGGGGUGGACGGAGCGCGCCCGGGGCGUCCGCGCGCGUAGCCCAGGCGACGUGAGCUUGGCACCUUCUGGAGUCUGGAGCCUGGCCAGCGCCCCUCGGCUGAAGGGCCCGACCCGGCGGGGGAAAAGCCCGGACCCUCCCCCAGCUCGGGCGGACCUGUAACCCCGGGUCUGAGAUGGCCAGGCCCGAGGGCUCUCCAAAUGGGCAGCUGCAGCUGCCAAUUUCAGGGGUCUCCAGAAACAGCCGGUGGGGCCACUGUGGUUUUUCUUCGUUUUUCUCUCCUUUCUAGAAGACCCGCUACGAUCCCGGGAGCGCAAAGACAAAACCAAGCAGACGCUUUAUUCUUGUUAUUUAUUGGCGAGAUCUCAGUGGACACGUAAAGGAUGAAAAGGAGAGAGUUCGCCUGCAUCGUGCCGCCACCGCAGCGUCUGCAGUUGGGUUCGCGGUCGGGGCGCCGAUGUGCGCGGGUUCACCUGCACACACCAGCUCACAGCCGUGGACGGCAUCUUGCGUGGAGGAGCUACCCCUCAAGGAGCUGCUUAAUGUUCUGGCCGAGGGGCGGGGGGUGUCUGGGGAGGCACCUGGGGCCGCAGAAACAUCUAGGAGCUGGGCAGAGCUCACGGAGAGUGGUUAUUCCGAAGACCUUGCCGUGAAUUGGCGCACCAGCUUUCUAAAUCCUGACAUUGGCCGCCCCAGGGAAGCAAGGAGAAAGCAUCCUCUAAGGACCUUGGAAGCCAGAGCGCAGGCCGGGGUGCCCCAUGGUCUAGAAAGAAGUUUGCCGCGGGUCUCAAAAACCCACGCCUAUUCCUCUCGCAGCCACGUGAAGGAACAUUCUGGGGACGGGUUCUCUGGAACAUGGCAACUGAUGGAAUCCCUGAAAAAUGCUUUCUUCCCUCCCCAGACUGUGAGUUUCUGUCAACUUCCCCUCCAGGCUCAGGAAACUAAGCCUCCCUUGAUUUCUGCCAUGCUACCUAGAUCUUCACCCCUCCCUUCCUCUCUCUCCUACAGACAAAAAUGUCCUAUCCACUUUCUUUUCCUUCCCUCCUUUCUCUCUCCCUCCUUCUCCUACAAAUAAAAUGAUACGCCAAUUGCUAGUAUUAAUUAAGAUCAUCACAAUUUAUAAACUUGAGUCUCACCAAAAAACCCAGGUAACAAGGUAUUGAUUCUUGUCUCCAUUUCACAAAUGAGGAGGUGUCAGGGCGAUUUGUCCCACCGUACAUGGCUAGUAGGAGGCCAUCCAGAUUAGUUCAUUAUCUUUGGUGUCUUUUUCUUUCUUUCUUUCUUUCUUUCUUCCUUCCUUCCUUCCUUCCUUCCUUUCUCUCUCUUUCCUUCUUUCUCUUCUUUCUUCCUUCCUUUUCCUUCCUUCCUUCCUCUCUAGGAUUUUAUUUAUUUGAGAGAGAGAAAAAGAGAGAACAUGAGGGGUGGAGGAGAGGCAGAUGGAGAGGGAGAAGCAGACUCCCCACUGAGCCUGCCAUCAGGCUUCAUCCCAGGACCUUGGGAUCAGGACCUCAACCUUGGUUAACCAACUCAGCCACCCAGGCACCCCCAUCAUCACUGGUUUCUAUCACUAAAGUCCUGACUAUGGUUUCCAUAAAACUCCACAUUCCAUUGCCUGUCUCCCCACUCCCACCUUGGUGGAAGGAAUUACCUGAAAUUAACAUUGCACUUCUACCGGAAACCAAAGUUAAAACUUUCCAUAUGCUGCCAUUAAACUCUCCCUCUGAGAAGCCCCCAAAAGGGAUGUGUAGUCAAAAAGACAAACCUGCAUUUAUUAAUGGAGUGAUUCAACAUCUGAGUGUCAGUUACCAAAUAUAUAAAUUGGGAGCGAUGAGACCUGACUUGCACAGUCGCUAACAGGCUUAGGGGUCAUAUAUCUUGCAUGUUUGGUGCGGGAAGUAUCAAUCCAGAAGUUAUUAUAAACAUGAUCCCUUACAUUCCAACGUUAUAGCCAAAUAGAAUAACAGAUCUCAAACUUCAGGAGGCUGAGUGUCUAGGAGUCACACUAUUGAUAAAACUAUAUCCAUUCCUGUAACUCUUUUACUGGCAAAAGAGAGAGAGAGAGGGAGAGAGAGAGGCCACAUUAUACGAACACAGCUUUCUACAGCUCAAAAAUAAUGUGUUAGUGUAUGUGACAGAAUAGUAACAGUGGAUACAUCUGAGUGUUCAUUGGGCAUUUCUUUGCAUCCUCUCUGUAAAUUUGAAAUUUUCAAAAUAAAAAAAAAAUUUAAUUAGUAAGUCACAAGGUGUUUUUCAGAAAUCCCAUCUAGAGCUUCCUAUUUGCAAUUUACAUAUUAUGUCAUACCUAAAAUUUAAAUUGAAGCAGAUGCAAACCGAGAGGGAAACACUAUAGCAAAAACCCAAAGCUUGUUCAUGUUCUACCUCUAAUCUCCAUACCAUGUUGUCCAAGAUCACCUCAAAUAAGCAUUUCCACUUUGCAAAUCAAACAUUCAUUGUAUUAAACAGUUCCAAUGAAAAAUGCUUUUUAAUUUAUGUUUUCUCACUUCUUUCCAGGAAGAAUGAAAGAGAUCCCCAGCUAGAGUUAUAGCCAUUUAAGAAACCAGAGCAGUCUUGCUUUUGUCUGCCCUGUACCCUCACCCCUCCACCACCCCCACCCUCACCCCCACCACCACCACCUCUCCCGGGCAUUCACAGUUACCAAAGCAAGAAAAGGGCUGUGUGAGUCACCUUGACAAAUGGGGAGCGUGACUGGGAGAUGAGGGCUGCUAACAUUUCUCUUUGUUCCAUUCUGUGGAAGCAUCCUGUCCCUCCUGAUCCACCCGUAAGCUAGGAUCAGACAGUGAGACUUUCUGCUGUCUAUGAAUAUAUUGAACAUGUAACGGGGGUCAGCUGCUAAGUGCUUUCUUAGAUUCUUACUUCAUACUCCCAAUAAUGCAUGAGGUAGUUCCUGUUAUCCAUGGUUUAGAAUCGAGAAAACUGAGGCUCUGACAGCUGCAAGAACUCGCCCAGGUGCCCUGGCUUCGAAGGGGCAGGAGCAGGACAGCAGAACCUGACUUCUCUUUUCCAUCAACAGUGCCCCACCCCCACCCAGAGAGAGAGCACUAUCAGGGGGAGCUGGAGGCAGAGGAGGAAGAGAGGCAGGCGCCCCCACCAAGCAAGGAUCUCAGGGCAGUGCUCCAUCCCAGGACUCUAGAAUCGUGGCUGGAGCCGAAGGCAGGCACUUAACUGACUGAGCCACCCAGGUGCCCAAAGGCUGAGCACAAGGCUGGCCCUGAGUCACCUCUCAACACAAGUGUCCGUGAUGACGACUUGCUUGGUCACGCUACCCCAGGCAGCUCAGAAAAUUCCGAACACAGUGGGGAGAGGGCACCUGAGAGUGCAAAGGCUACACGCCAUCUUUGGCACGGACUUGGAGACUAGCUGCCAGUUUCCCAGCCCAGAGGGACGAGGGACCUGGGGCCAGAUGGAGAAUCAGCCAGGGCAGAAGACAGCACCCAGAGCUCCUCUCCUGGGACCAGUUACCGCCCUUCUGGUACCUGGGCUUGUGAUGCGCGAAGGAUUCCAAAUGACUUACGCUUAUCUGGUCUUAUCAGCACCAUCAUCCUCGUCACCACCAACAUCACGACCACAAGGACAGCAGAGACAUGAACGCUGAAUUUGCUGUUUCAGUCCCCUUUGGCCUAGGGAAUGGCAAACAGGCUUUUGAAAAAGUUACUGUGGGAUGAGCAUGGUUUGGGGUUCUAAAUCCCAAAGUAUCUGAGCCCCUGGAGCCCCUGAAUUCUCAAGUUCCAUCAAGGGGCCACGAGUGGUGCAUGUUUGGUGACCAUCACUGGUUUUGCAGAUGAUAAAAUGGUGGCCAUUCAGCGUAUCCUAGUCUUCCUGUGGCAGUCCUCAGCCUUAAUUGGCAGCUGUUCUUCUGACAGUGCCAGCUUGGGGGAGGGGUGGGCGAGGCUCCCUGCUCUGUGCUCCCACAACAUCCGGGACCUCCCCCAUCUCCACCCUGCCUUGUGGUUGCCUCUUGCUGAUGUCAAUGCUUAGAAGGCUGUGAGUUGCUCUGUGGAGGCAAAGUCUUACUCACCAUUGUCACCCCUGGAUCUAGCACAACACCUGACAACAGAAGAGGUUGCCCAUUAAAUAUUUGUUCAAUAAAUGAAUGAGUAAUGCCUCCCUUUAUUAUUAUUAUUAUUAUUGCACAUAGCAAUUAAAAACAAGCGUAAACAGUAUGUGGGAACUUAGGAAAAUAAUUAUGUGACAACAUUAAGUGAUAAGUUAAAUUUGUUUUGGUCUCACCUGGAAAAUAGGGCAAUUAACAUCUCUUGUAUUAGUUUUGUUCUGUUCUCACUCAAGUGAGACAGAAUAGGUAAAAUGCUUAACACAGUGCCCUCCAUGAGCAUGUAUUUGAUAAACGGUAGUGUUUUUGUUAUCAUUUAUGAUAAUUGUAAGUGAAAGAAAAAAAAAACAGAAUGAAAAUAUUUAGGCUGAUUUUAACUAAUCAAGCAACAGGGGCACCUGGGUGGCUCAGAGGGUUAAUUAAGCCUCCAACUCUUGAUUUCUCAGGGCCCUUUCAGGGUUGUGAGAUGGAGCCCCGAGUCGGGCUCCUGCUGGGUAUGGAGCCUGCUUAGGAUUCUCUUUCUCCUUCUCCCCCUCCCCCACCUAAAAAAUUAUAUUAAAUUAAAAAUAACUAAUAGGUUAACAGAUUUCAAACAUUUCUUUUAAUGUAACUAAAUAAUAUUUUUUCUAUAAUUUCAAAAAUUUUGUG